rfam:Populus trichocarpa isolate Nisqually-1 chromosome 5, whole genome shotgun sequence.
UAAUCUGUCAGGAGUAAAUCCUCAUAUAGUUAUGACAGACCCACACCUAACUGUUCAGAAUCACCCGUGAAAACUACUGUGUGAACAAUAAUUUUUUAAAGU